rnacentral:rRNA from 1 species
GAUCCUGGCUCAGGAUGAACGCUAGCUACAGGCUUAACACAUGCAAGUCGAGGGGCAGCAUGGAGUAGCAAUACUCUGACGGCGACCGGCGGAAGGGUGCGUAACACGUGAGCGACUUGCCCGAUACAGGGAGAUAACCGGUGGAAACGCCGACUAAUAUCCCAUACGACAUGAGGCUGCAUGGCCUUGGGUUGAAAGGUUCGCCGGUAUCGGAUAGGCUCGCGGGACAUUAG